GAUGAACGCUAGCGGCAGGCUUAAUACAUGCAAGUCGAGGGACAGCACAGGUAGCAAUACUGGGUGGUAACCGGCAAACGGGUGCGGAACACGUACACAACCUUCCUUUAAGUGGGGGAUAGCCCAGAGAAAUUUGGAUUAAUACCCCGUAAUAUAGUUGAAUGGCAUCAUUUGAUUAUUAUAGCUACGGCGCUUAAUGAUGGGUGUGCGGCUGAUUAGAUAGUUGGCGGGGUAACGGCCCACCAAGUCUACGAUCAGUAGCUGAUGUGAGAGCAUGAGCAGCCACACGGGCACUGAGACACGGGCCCGACUCCUACGGGAGGCAUCAGUAAGGAAUAUUGGUCAAUGGACGCAAGUCUGAACCAGCCAUGGCGCGUGAAGGAUUAAGGUCCUCUGGAUUGUAAACUUCUUUUAUUUGGGACGAAAAAGGGCCUUUCUAGGUCAACUGACGGUACCAGAUGAAUAAGCACCGGCUAACUCCGUGCCAGCCGCCGCAGUAACAC
rnacentral:rRNA from 1 species